UGAUUAGCCAAUGUCGGAAUGGGGUGUUUGUAGGGAAAAGUCUGCAACUGGAGGCUUCCCUGCCAGGUGAAGGAAUUUUAGACUUUUUUUGUGGCUCUGAGCCCUGAGCCUCCUCUGUCCUGCGCUUCCGAACGAUGAACGAUGGUCCCGCGGUCGGAAGGUUGAAGGGGAGGGAGAGACUAGUCUAGUCACCAGAAGGAAGCGCGGAGAGAACGUGGGGACGGGCGCGCAGGAAGGUCGCCUGCGGGGGGGAGGAGGUCGGAUCGCAGCCCCUGGGCAGGUGUGACUGGGCGGUAAGGGGUGAGGCCUGUGAGAGGGCGGGAGAGGGACCCAGGUUAGGGAGGUGAGUGCCACGUCCCGAACUCAGCAGGGACCCACAGGGAGGAGCACGGUGGUGGCGGAGGAGAUGCGAGGAUGCAUCACCGCGUCCUCCGCGGGGCUCGCGCUGGAGACCUCCGAUCAGUAGGAGGGACCUGGCGCUCGGGAGUCGCGCUGGUUUCGUUGCCCCCAAAGCCCGCGGAACGCUCGGACCCGAGACGAGGAACCCGUGCCGGUAAGGGCCCGGCCUUGCUGCGGACUCAGAGCUGAACAAUGACCAUAGUUGACAAAGCUUCUGAAUCUUCGGGCCCUUCGACCUAUCAGAACCAGCCUGGCAGCUCCGAGGCCGUCUCACCUGGAGACAUGGAUGCAGGGUCUGCCGGCUGGGGUGCUGUGUCUUCCUUAAAUGAGGUUUCAAAUCACACGCUUUCUUUAGGACCAGUGCCUGGUGCUGUAGUGUAUUCAAGUUCAUCUGUACCUGAUAAGUCAAAACCAUCACCACAGAAGGAUCAAGCCCUAGGUGAUGGCAUUGCUCCUCCGCAAAAAGUUCUUUUCCCAUCUGAGAAGAUUUGUCUUAAGUGGCAACAAACUCAUAGAGUUGGAGCUGGGCUCCAGAAUUUGGGCAAUACCUGCUUUGCCAAUGCAGCAUUGCAGUGCUUAACAUACACGCCACCUCUUGCCAAUUACAUGCUAUCGCACGAACACUCCAAGACAUGUCAUGCAGAAGGAUUUUGUAUGAUGUGUACAAUGCAAGCACAUAUCACCCAGGCACUCAGUAAUCCUGGGGAUGUUAUUAAACCAAUGUUUGUCAUUAAUGAGAUGCGGCGUAUAGCUAGGCACUUCCGUUUUGGAAACCAAGAAGAUGCCCAUGAAUUCCUUCAAUACACUGUUGAUGCUAUGCAAAAGGCGUGCUUGAAUGGCAGCAAUAAAUUAGACAGACACACCCAGGCUACCACGCUCGUUUGUCAGAUAUUUGGAGGAUACCUGAGAUCUAGAGUCAAAUGUUUAAAUUGCAAAGGCGUUUCAGAUACUUUUGACCCGUAUCUCGAUAUAACACUGGAGAUCAAGGCUGCUCAGAGUGUGAACAAGGCGCUGGAGCAGUUUGUGAAGCCCGAGCAGCUGGACGGCGAGAACUCGUACAAGUGCAGCAAAUGUAAAAAGAUGGUUCCAGCUUCAAAGAGAUUCACCAUACACAGAUCCUCCAAUGUUCUCACACUUUCUCUGAAACGCUUUGCCAAUUUUACUGGCGGGAAAAUUGCUAAGGAUGUAAAAUAUCCGGAAUAUCUUGAUAUUCGACCAUACAUGUCUCAACCAAACGGAGAACCGAUUAUUUAUGUCUUAUAUGCAGUACUGGUACACACUGGUUUUAACUGCCACGCCGGCCAUUACUUCUGCUACAUAAAGGCUAGCAAUGGUCUCUGGUAUCAGAUGAAUGACUCCAUCGUAUCUACCAGUGAUAUCAGAUCGGUACUCAGUCAACAAGCGUAUGUUCUCUUUUAUAUCAGGUCCCAUGAUGUGAAAAAUGGAGGUGAACUUACUCAUUCCGCCCACAGCCCCGGCCAGUCCUCUCCCCGACCUGUAAUCAGUCAGCGUGUCGUCAAUAACAAACAGGCCACGUCAGGGUUCAUCGGACCACAGCUUCCUUCUCACAUGAUAAAGAACCCACCCCACUUGAAUGGGACCGGACCCUUGAAAGAAACGCCCAGCAGCUCCGUGUCGAGUCCUAAUGGAAAUUCCAAUGUCAGCAGGGCUGGUGCUGUUAACGCUUCAACUUCUGUUCAAAACUGGUCAGUUAACAGGGCCUCAGUUAUCCCGGAACAUCCCAAGAAACAAAAAAUCACCAUCAGUAUUCACAACAAGUUACCUGUUCGCCAAGGUCAGUCUCAGCCUAACCUUCACAACAAUGGUUUGGAGAACCCUACCAAGCCUGUUCCCUCUUCUACCAUUACCACUUCUUCUGCAAUACAGUCUACCUCGAGUGCACCCACCACGUCAGUUCCCAGUAAAGUCACAAAGCCGACGGCCCCGAGUGAGUCCUGCUCCAAGCCAGUGAUGAACGGCAAGUCCAAGCUGAACUCCAGCGUCCUGGUCCCCUACGGUGCCGAGUCUUCGGAAGAGUCUGACGAGGAGGCCAAGGGCCUCGGCAGGGAGAACGGGCUGGGCACGGUCGAGAGCUCGAACUCUUCUGCUCUGGAUGCUGAAGCUGACGAGGCCUCUCAGCACGAGCUUCGAGAACCUGUGACUCUAAAUGGUGCUAAUGUCAGUACAGACAGUGACCCGGAAGAGAACGGUCUGUCCUUCGAUGGUGCCAGCUGCCAAGUCCAGCCUGACCUACACUCAGAAAACCCCUUUUCUAAGGCAAAUGGUCUCCCUGGAAAGUUGAUGCCCGCUCCUUUGCCACCUCUCCCGGAAGACAAAAUCUUAGAGACUUUCAAGCUCGGCAACAAAGGGAAAGGCUCGACGGAUGAGACAAGUGCACCUGGAACAGACGGGAGCCAGACAGAGCAUCCUGAGGCAGGACUGGAGCCCGGCAGCCCCACUCCUGACUCCCGGGAGGAACUGGAGACGGCCACGGGUCUUAGCAGCAAACUGAAGAAGGCUUCGCCGCUCCCGGACCCCGGCAUCCAGUCUACAUCUACCAAAGAACAAGUCCCUGAGAGCAUUUCAGCAAAACCCGAGGAGUCCGUGCCCAGUGUCAACCACCUUUGUAACGCCAACAAGAACACCGCUGGGGACGACUCCCUCUCUAAACUGUGCGACCCUGGGAAUGGAACAGGGGAGGAGAGCAGAGCGUCCCAGGAUACAACGGGGACGUUAGCAGAGAGUCCCCGGGACUCGGCAGCAGGGGACGCCACGGGGAGGCUGAGCCCGAGCCCCGCGGCAUGUCCCGAGGGUGACGGCGAGCAGGAGCCCUCCGUCCACGGCAGCCGAGACCAGUGUACGGAUGCGGAAGACGUUUCUAAAGUCUCAGACGUUUCUAAAAUCUCGGAGGCGCCUACAGACGAGCCGCCCUCUUCUCAGUUGGACAAAGUCACGGAAAACCAUUCAGAAGGGGUUGGGGCUCCCGAGCAAAGCCCCGGGGAGCCACGUGAAGAAAACAAGGCUGGGCAGAAAGGCCAGGCCCGGUCUCCGGUGAAGGAGAAGAUCAGCAGCCUCCGCAAGGUUGACCGAGGACACUAUCGCACCCGGAGGGACCGCUCGUCCAGCGGGGAACACGCGCGGGACAGCAGGAGCCAGACCGAGGACCGUUACCGCCGGCGGCGGCACUCCUACACGCGCGAGCGCACCCUGCAGGGGCGCCGGCCCGAGCACUGCAGCGGGGGCCCGCACCACGCCUGCGAGCACCGCGGCCUGGCCCGGCACCGCCACCACCACUCCCGGAGCAGAGGCGGGUCCGACCACGACUGGAGCAGGUACCACCACUCGGAAAGCGAGCACUCCUGGGGCCGGGAGAAGUACUACCUGGACAGAACGAGGUGGGACAAAUGCAGGUAUUACCACGACAGGUACGCCCCGUACACGGCCAGGGAGGCGUGGGAGUGGAGGCCUUUGCACGGGGACCGAGACUAUGACCGAGACUAUGACCGUGUGGGUCAGUACGGCGGCCGGCCCUACAAGGACUAUAAAAGCAGGAAGGGCUACGAGCUGGGUGCCAAAGAGAGGGAACGGCACCACUUGAGCGGCCCCCGGGCGGGCCCCCCCCACGCCCUGCCGCCCCACCCUGAGAAGUCCGCCGAGAAGAUUGCACUUGCACCUGAAGGCAGCAGCUGUCACCUCGCUGAUCGCUUUCAUGACCACGAAAAUGUGAAGUCACACAAACGGAGGUACGAUAGUAUAGAACAUGGCGACACCCACGUAGAAAAGAAAGCCUGGAGAAGCGUACAGAGGGACCCUUUAGAAGAACCUAAAGUGAAGAAGCACAAAAAGUCAAAGAAGAAAAAGAAAUCCAAAGACAAACACCGAGAGCGAGACUCCAGGCAUCAGCAGGACUCGGAUCUCUCGGCAGCAUGCUCGGAUGCUGACCUCCACAGACACAGGAAGAAGAAGAAGAAAAAGAAGAGACACUCAAGGAAAUCGGAGGACUGUGGGCGAGACUCAGGACUGCACUUAGCUAAGGCCGCCAGCUCUGAGGCUCUUGACCGCUUCCGGAGAGCCGACGGCAGCCCCCCCCUCACCGACGGCCUGCCUCUGGAAGGCGCUGGACCUUUCCGAGAGAAAACAAAACGUUUAAGGAUGGACAGCAGGGAUGACAGGUGUCAUCUGUCUGAGUGUGGCCAGGGUAAGAGGAGAUACUUGGACUUAAGAAUGUAGGAGCUGGUCUUUUUAGAAAAGGGGAUUGACACCUGGGAGGAAGGCCCAAUGGCACGGGGGGGGGGGCGGGGGGGGGGAGGACACGCUUCAGCAGGAGCCCCUCCCACCCGCUUUCUCCACCCCCCACCUUGAGGGCGGCAUGGAGCAUGGCCCCCUUAGCAUUUUGGGGAGCCCCGGUUACAUGGACCAGGCCUCACAGAACCUGAUACACACCUGGAAUUUAGGGCUCCAGGUACCAUUUUCCUCGGGAAGGGCCAGAACUUUCCUUUUCAGGCCAUUUUUAUAUUCUUCUCUCCGGAAUCCUUAGACCUCGGGCGUUCUGAGCAUAGCCUAGGAGUCAGUGUGAUGACUUGGGUCAUUAGGGACGUCAGCUGUCGCACCUGUCGUGCGGGGCUCUGGCUCCUGGGGAGUGGAUCACUCUGGGUGUCCGGUCUUGUCUGCUCUGCACAGCUCUGCCCCUGUAAUGGUGUGGUCCUUUCUGUCGCUAAUUGCACUUAAAGCUGCCCCCUCCUCGCCCCUUCUAAUCUGUGCCAGUGACCUUUGCCCCUGGCGAGCAGCAUGGAGCCUGCGAGAAAGCGUGAUGUAGGCAGCGCCCCAGAGCGGCCGCGAACCGCAGCCCGGGGCAGGACCAGCCAGUUAGAAUGGCUUCAACAUCUCAAGUGGUUGGAAAAGUCCAAAGAAGAUUCCAUUUCCCAUGAAAAGUAUAUGAAAUUGCAAUGUCGGUGUGUAGAGUGCAGUGGAGCACAGCCCAGCUUUUACGGCUUUUUGUGGAGAGUUUGCUGACCGCCCUGGACCCCGAGGUGUCCUCCUGUGACUGUCACCCUGGUUGCCCAGAGGCCUUUUGGUUCCUGACAGUGUCCUGGGCUCGGCCGAGGUGACCUGUGGGGGGCGGUCAGCCUGUGAUGGUUGGCUAGGAGGGCACCUGGGCCCCAGUGUUGGCGAGGAGAGAACAGUACCGCGAGGCAUGGCGUGUCCCAUCAGGAGGGUGAGUGUGGUGGGAGCUUGCAGCCCUCGGCAGCAAGAAAGUGGAGCUGAAGUGGUAUUUGCUGUUUUUAAGGGAUUAAUAUGUGUCCCUUCAGAUUGGUUUCCUGUGAACAUGUCAGUGUCGGGGGAAGUCCCUCUCCCUCGCGCAGGGAGGGGCUGUGUGCACGGGUCCCAGGCAGCGCACACGGUUGCCAGACUCCUCCGCAGGGGGUGGGGCCGCCCAGGGCCCUGGAGGGGGGGAGGCCGAGUGCCCACCUCGCUGGUGGCGUGUGCAGCUCUGCUCUGUCUCCAGGGGCUGCUGUCAGGCCGGUGGUCCUGUCCCCGCUCCAGCACUUCCACUCUGAGCAGCCCCGCACUGUCCCCGCCUGUCCCCUCAAGAAGGGCCAGUCACCUGGCCUUCAAGCAUCCCCGUCAACUGUUGGGACACGUGUCCUCUGUCCUGGUGCCUUGACCGCUGACCUGUCCUUCAGCCUCGCUGUCUCUGGUGUAAAGCCUGCCCCUCCUCAUGUGACAAGGCUGACGACCAUGUCCUCGGGCGUGCGUGGCUUUCCCGGCUUCUCCCCGCGGCGACUGUCUUCCCUAACCCCCGGAGAAAGGGCCCCCUCCGCACACCCCUGCGCACCCUGGGCCUGGUGUGGCCUUAUUUCCCGUGGAACUGUGAGCCUGCCGCGCGCUCGGCACAGGACCAGACACCAUGAGACCAUUAAACUGUCUCUUAACCUUUGCUUGCGUUCUAGGUGACUGAAAGCUUGGCCUCAAACAAAGAAUUCACUAGUUAUGAUUCAACAUGUCCAACAGAAGCCAUCCCCAACCCAGCUUCCAUUAUAAACAUAGAAAAUAACUUUGUUCAGAUCUGCGUGGUGCUUCUUUAGUAAAUACUGUACAGAUUUUACCAUGGAGAACUUCUUUUUUAGUUUUUACCUUUUCUUAAUUACCCUUAUUCCAAAUGGACGAACACUUUCUACAACUGCUGAGCAUUGUAAAAUACGUGUAUAUAAAUCACAUUAAAAGUGACGCCCUGGACUAGAACAUCUCAAUGCUGCUUAAUCACAGACUCAGGUUGAUCUCUCGUAUUCCAUGUAAUGCUCCUCCAAUCAGACCUCCGGUGCAAGGCCAGCCGGGACCCUGGGAUUGUUCACGUACAAACAGCUGACAGUGUGCAUAUUUAAUUUAAAGACUAUUUAAGCUCCACGAGCUCUCAGCUGACUCGAGAGCAGUGUUUUCUGUAAUGUCUGAUACUAGAAACGAACGUGCUUCAUGUUUCAGUUUAUUCAAGAUUGGAAGGUGUAUUUUAUAGACAAGUUCUGUUUUUGAACUUUGUGGAACUAUUCCAAUCAACUUACCAGUUAUGAUGAGUAUUUACAUUAUGAAUGUAUAAUCCAGACAUUAUUUGUAAAGCCUACAGUACGUUUUUUAUUACAUAACACUUUUUAUACAGUUUCUCUUGUCUUGACUAUGAUAUUGGAGUCUGAGUUAUCAGCUUGGUCCCUGAAAAGUUUCUAGUUACAGACAAAAUCAUACUGUGAUUUUAUUUUUAAUAUGGAUAUGCUAUCAAACUGUGAUACACUUAUAAUUCACUGGUCCUGCAUCAGGAGACGGAGUGGGGACAACUGUAUUUAAUACAGUUUGUAUCUGAAUAAUCUGUAUGGUUUAUACAGUUUGUGUUGUUCAGAGAUGUCUAAAGUUUGAUCUUUGUUUUUUUAAAGAUUAAAAAAGCACUUGCCCCACUGUAAAUAUACAGCAUGUAAAAUUUAUAUAGUAUAUAAAUGGCAGCAAAUUAAACAUUUUGUGUCUUCUUUUUUA